rnacentral:piRNA from 1 species
UAAUUUUGGUCGGUCACAUGUACCUUGGAA